AGAAACCCACAAAGGAGGACCAGUUUUGCCUUCACAGAAGCCCUCGUGUUGCAUUAAAUGCUACCUUCUGGCCUUGUGUACAGCCAGAGAGACCAAGUACUGUACUGAUGAAUGGACUCAGGGUCCCGCCGAGCCUGGGGAGAAGCCUUUAUUGUUGAAUAAUGCUAACAGGUGGUCCACUUCCUCUCCUAUUGAGAACUACUAUCCAGUACAUGAGGACAUCAAACAACGCUCCAGGGCCUGGUCCACCGAGAGGAACAUCACAGGAAAGAAUCCAUUGGUACUUUGUUCAUUCACAAGAGCACUAGAAGAUCAUAGACUUGACCCUGCUUUAAGCCCCAGCUCCGGUGUAGCCUCGGAAGAGAAACUGACGAAGGGGAAGUUUCCAGAGUAUUCAGAAUGCAAAUGACAUUGCUACCUAUUUCAGGAGGAAGAUUGGCCCUGAGCUAACAUCUGUGACAAUCUUCCUCUGUUUUGUACGGGAGA
rnacentral:lncRNA from 1 species